ACGCUCGACACCUACGGAGGCAGCAGUGGGGAAUAUUGCACAAUGGGGGAAACCCUGAUGCAGCGACGCCGCGUGAAGGAAGAAGUAUCUCGGUAUGUAAACUUCUAUCAGCAGGGAAGAAAAUGACGGUACCUGACUAAGAAGCCCCGGCUAACUACGUGCCAGAAGCCGCGGUAAUCUGAGCGGGCUGGCAAGGC
rnacentral:rRNA from 1 species